UACAGAGGUCUCAAGCGUUGUUCGGAUUCAUUGGGCGUAAAGGGUGCGUAGGCGGCGCGGUAAGUCGGGUGUGGAAUCUCGGAGCUUAACUCCGAAACUGCAUUCGAUACUGCCGUGCUUGAGGACUGGAGAGGAGACUGGAAUUUACGGUGUAGCGGUGAAAUGCGUAGAUAUCGUAAGGAAGACCAGUGGCGAAGGCGGCACUCUGGGCCGGUACUGACGCUGAGGAGCGAAAGCGUGGGGAGCAAACAGG
rnacentral:rRNA from 1 species